UCCCGGCCGAGGAGAGGAGCACUCAGCCUCAGCGGAGGUAAGAAUGCGUUUUAGUCUACUCCCGUGCAGACAGCUCAGCUGAAGAACGGCAGGCAGCCGGGAGAGUGGGCACGGCCAGGAAAAAGAGAAAGGACAAUGUGCUUACAUGCUGUUGACGCGAGACCCUUGUAGAGUACAGGUGUACCUGCCCCACCAAUCAACAGAAGCCAUUACUGAUUGACAGAUGUACACCCUCACUGCUCAGGGAGGGCAGUUCCUCAGCUAGGCUGGUGGUCAUCUUUGCACUCAUUCCACGUCCUGCAGGCAGGAGCACUGAAUAAAGUCAGAAAAUUGGAACUCCUUUGGAUCCUCACCCUACAUGGCCCCAGUGACAAAAUGAGGCAACUUGCAAAAUACAAACUUAUCUCUAAUCUCUCUAUCUCAACCAUCUCCCUCAAUUGACCUGAACACAGAAUGGAAAUAAUGAACGUUUUCCGGAAGCAGCAGUCAUCUCCUCACGUGGAACAAAAGUGUGCAGAGGAGAGUGAACAGUCUCUCUGAAGACUCGGAAAACUGAAUUCACUGAAUCA